rnacentral:lncRNA from 1 species
GUGGCAUGUAACAUGUCUUCUGAUUGGCCGAAAGUUUGUUGUUUAUCAGUUCAUAGACAUAAGUUUGUCCUUUGACCGUAACGUCAUCAACAUUUUUCAGUGAUUUACUCCCUUAAAAAUGAGAAUUUAGAAUUAAAUCAUAAGUAAUGACUGUUAUAUAUUUUCUGUCUAUUCUAAAUAACCUCAAAACUGUGGUGCACAUAACCUGCUACGAGUGUUGUUUAGUGUGCACCAUUUUUUUUAAGUCAUCUCUUUAUAGACAGAAAAAAGAAUAGUACA